rnacentral:rRNA from 1 species
GAUUAAGCCAUGCAUGCCUAAGUCUUGGCUCUAGUACAGUGAAACCACGAAUGGCUCAUUAAAUCAGCUAUUGUUCAUUAGAUCAUAACCGUUACAUGGAUAACUGUAGUAAUUCUAGAGCUAAUACAUGCCUCGAUGCCGUGACCCGUAAGGGGAUCGGUGCACUUAUUAGAACAAGACCAACCAGGUAGCCAGGCUUAAUUGUUCUGGUGGCCUGUUGUGUCGUGUUGACUCUGGAUAAUUACGACAGAUCGCAGUCGACCUUUGUUGUCGGCGACAAUUCUUUCAAAUGUCUGCCCUAUCAACUUACGAUGGUAGGCGACCUGCCUACCAUGGUGAUAACGGGUAACGGGGAAUCAGGGUUCGAUUCCGGAGAGGGAGCCUGAGAAACGGCUACCACAUCCAAGGAAGGCAGCAGGCGCGCAAAUUACCCACUCCCGGCACGGGGAGGUAGUGACGAAAAAUAACGAUGCGGGACUCAUACGAGGCUCCGUAAUCGGAAUGAGAACACUCUAAAUCCUUUAACGAGGACCAAUUGGAGGGCAAGUCUGGUGCCAGCAGCCGCGGUAACUCCAGCUCCAAUAGCGUAUAUUAAAGUUGCUGCAGUUAAAAAGCUCGUAGUUGGAUCUUGACGGCAUUACUGCGUGUUUGGGUUUCGUUGUUCUGUCUACGUCCGUUGUCUGCAUGCAUACGGUGUAAAACGUGUGUAUGUAUGAUAAUAUGGUUCUGGACGCAAUGUACCCAACUCGUCGGUGGUGAAGUCUUUCAGCCGUGUCUGUUGUCUUUACAGUUGUGUACGCUUUUGCAUUUAAUAUGCAUUGGUAUUGCACACUGUAUAAGGUGCAGGUGCCGAUAGUUGGAAUUUUGGGUCCGUCCCAGCCUUCUGUUGGUACGCCUCGUGAUGCUCUUAACUGAGCCGUCGCGAGUGCGGACGGCAUGUUUACUUUGAACAAAUUUGAGUGCUCAAAGCAGGCCUACGUGCCUGAAAAGUCUUGCAUGGAAUAAUAGAAUAGGACUUCGGUUCUAUUUUGUUGGUUUUCGGUUCCGAAGUAAUGGUUAAGAGAGACAGACGGGGGCAUUUGUAUGGCGGUGUUAGAGGUGAAAUUCUUGGAUCGCCGCCAGACAAUCUGAAGCGAAAGCAUUUGCCAGGAAUGUUUUCAUUGACAAAGAGCGAAAGUCAGAGGUUCGAAGACGAUCAGAUACCGUCCUAGUUCUGACCAUAAACGAUGCCAACUGACGAUCCGCGGUGGUAGUACAUAUCGUCCCCGCGGGCAGUCUCCGGGAAACCUGUAAGUCUUUGGGUUCCGGGGGAAGUAUGGUUGCAAAGCUGAAACUUAAAGGAAUUGACGGAAGGGCACCACCAGGAGUGGAGCCUGCGGCUUAAUUUGACUCAACACGGGAAAACUCACCCGGCCCGGACACUGUGAGGAUUGACAGAUUGACAGCUCUUUCUUGAUCCAGUGGUUGGUGGUGCAUGGCCGUUCUUAGUUGGUGGAGCGAUUUGUCUGGUUAAUCCG